rnacentral:sRNA from 1 species
GCUGGGCAUGGUGGUGCGUGCCUGUAAUCCCAGCUACUCAGGAGGCUGAGGCAGGAGAAUUGCCUGAACCCAGGAGGCAGAGGUUGCGGUGAGCUGAGAUCACACCAUUGCACUCCAGCCUGGAUAACAAGAGUGAAACUCCGUCUCAAAAAUAAAUAAAUAAAUAAAUAAAAAUAAUUUGUUUGUUUUGAGAUAGAGUCUUGCUCUGUUGCCCAGGCUGGAGUGCAGUGGUAUGAUUGUGGCUCACUGCAACCUCUGCCUUCGGGGUUCAAGUGAUUCUCCUGCCUCAG